rnacentral:rRNA from 1 species
AGCGAACGCUGGCGGCAGGCUUAACACAUGCAAGUCGAGCGGGCACUUCGGUGUCAGCGGCAGACGGGUGAGUAACACGUGGGAACGUACCCUUUGGUUCGGAAUAACGCUGGGAAACUAGCGCUAAUACCGGAUACGCCCUUUUGGGGAAGGCUUGCUGCCGAAGGAUCGGCCCGCGUCUGAUUAGCUAGUUGGUGGGGUAAUGGCCUACCAAGGCGACGAUCAGUAGCUGGUCUGAGAGGAUGAUCAGCCACACUGGGACUGAGACACGGCCCAGACUCCUACGGGAGGCAGCAGUGGGGAAUAUUGGACAAUGGGCGCAAGCCUGAUCCAGCCAUGCCGCGUGAGUGAUGAAGGCCUUAGGGUUGUAAAGCUCUUUUGUCCGGGACGAUAAUGACGGUACCGGAAGAAUAAGCCCCGGCUAACUUCGUG